CAAGUUGGCUGGCCUGGAGUGCAGGGCCCGUGAGAAUUCAUCAGAACACGGUGAAGCAUCCCAGGUGUCGGGCUCAAAGGUCAUGCACUGAUGUAAUCUCGUCCCAGGGUCUUUUGCUGAGCUGGUUGGAGUCAGACUCCAGCGGAAACCCGUCUUCUGCUCCCGCGCUCCGUCUCCAAGUUGGUGGGGAGCGGCCCACUCACAGGGGAGGCUGCAGUGUAGCGUUGCCAGCCACUGGGGCAGGUGUAACCAAACUGACAUUUUGAUCUCUGCCUGCCUGGAUGAGUAGCAAGAGUAUCACUCACCGGAGUCCCUCAAACGUGAAUGAAAACAAUAUUCUCUUUUUAUUUUUCAUGUUUCUGUAUUGUUUGGAUUUUUUUGUUAUAAUGAACACAUAUUACAUAUAGUAAUAUGGGUAGAUAUCUCUAAAUACAGAGAUACGAAAUUAUAAAAUCUGUAUCCUUGCAGUUUUCACCUAA